AUCCACCUGACGAGUCCGAAUAGGACGAAACGUGUGUCCUCGAU
rnacentral:hammerhead_ribozyme from 1 species